UUCCCGGUUGAUCCUGCGGGAGGCCACUGCUAUCGGGGUCCGACUAAGCCAUGCGAGUCAAGGGGCUCCCUUCGGGGAGCACCGGCGCACGGCUCAGUAACACGUGGCUAACCUACCCUCGGGUGGGGGAUAACCUCGGGAAACUGAGGCUAAUCCCCCAUAGGGGAGGAGGUCUGGAAUGAUCCCUCCCCGAAAGCUCCGGCGCCCGAGGAUGGGGCUGCGGCGGAUUAGGUAGUUGGUGGGGUAACGGCCCACCAAGCCUACGAUCCGUACGGGCCCUGAGAGGGGGAGCCCGGAGAUGGACACUGAGACACGGGUCCAGGCCCUACGGGGCGCAGCAGGCGCGAAACCUCCGCAAUGCGGGCAACCGCGACGGGGGGACCCCCAGUGCCGUGGCACAGCCACGGCUUUUCCGGAGUGUAAAAAGCUCCGGGAAUAAGGGCUGGGCAAGGCCGGUGGCAGCCGCCGCGGUAAUACCGGCGGCCCAAGUGGUGGCCGCUAUUAUUGGGCCUAAAGCGUCCGUAGCCGGGCCUGUAAGUCCCUGGCGAAAUCCCACGGCUCAACCGUGGGGCUUGCUGGGGAUACUGCAGGCCUUGGGACCGGGAGAGGCCGGGGGUACCCCUGGGGUAGGGGUGAAAUCCUAUAAUCCCAGGGGGACCGCCAGUGGCGAAGGCGCCCGGCUGGAACGGGUCCGACGGUGAGGGACGAAGGCCAGGGGAGCGAACCGGAUUAGAUACCCGGGUAGUCCUGGCUGUAAAGGAUGCGGGCUAGGUGUCGGACGAGCUUCGAGCUCGCCCGGUGCCGGAGGGAAGCCGUUAAGCCCGCCGCCUGGGGAGUACGGCCGCAAGGCUGAAACUUAAAGGAAUUGGCGGGGGAGCACUACAAGGGGUGGAGCGUGCGGUUUAAUUGGAGCAACGCCGGAAAUC
rnacentral:rRNA from 1 species